rnacentral:rRNA from 1 species
UACGUAGGGUGCGAGCGUUAAUCGGAAUUACUGGGCGUAAAGCGUGCGCAGGCGGUUGUGCAAGACAGAUGUGAAAUCCCCGGGCUUAACCUGGGAAUGGCAUUUGUGACUGCACGGCUAGAGUGUGUCAGAGGGGGGUAGAAUUCCACGUGUAGCAGUGAAAUGCGUAGAUAUGUGGAGGAAUACCGAUGGCGAAGGCAGCCCCCUGGGAUAACACUGACGCUCAUGCACGAAAGCGUGGGGAGCAAAC